UCCGAGUUGACCCCGGCAGUCUCCUAUGAGUCCCCGGCAUUAUCCGCUGGCAACAUAGGACGAGGGUUGCGCUCGUUGCGGGACUUAACCCAACAUCUCACGACACGAGCUGACGACAGCCAUGCAGCACCUGUACUUGUUGUACCCCUUGCGGGGCCUACCCGACUUUCAUCGGGAUAAUCCAAGCAUGUCAAGCCCAGGUAAGGUUCCGCGCGUUGCUUCGAAUUGAACCACAUGCUCCACCGCUUGUGUGAGCCCCCGUCAAUUCCUUUGAGUUUUAGCCUUGCGACCGUACUUCCCAGGCGGUCGACUUAGCACUUUUGCUUCGACCGUGACCGCGUCAGAGCGGCCACGAUCUAGUCGACAUCGUUUACGGCCAGGACUA
rnacentral:misc_RNA from 1 species